AUGCUACUUCUGAGUAUCGGAAGAUAUAAUGAAAUGCAAAUAGCCUUUCACCCUAAAAUAGAAAGGGAUUAGGGAAGGCAAACUUAAAACUUAGUUUAAGUAGCUGGAACAAGGUCGUUUAGUUCGGCGGGUAUCCAAUAAUAAACUAACAUUUACAAAAUUGUUUACUAAUCAUGUGUAGAAGUGGGCACAUGAUCUAGGUAACUCUAACACCCUGCCAUUCGAAUUUGGCGAGUGUUAGCACCAUUACUCCCCAGCCUCUUCCUUUUCUUUGGAUUUCCCCUCAUCUUCAAUAUGAAAACCUUGUAUCUUAUGUGAAACCUCAUCAGCAGUUAC